AGCUGAUGCACAUGACGGUCUUCUCCCAGUGCCGUCGCAGCAGCUGUUCCCCUCUGGAGGUUUUAGACCUUCACACUUAAAGGCCCCAAGUUUACUUGUGGGCCUCUUUU
rnacentral:sRNA from 1 species